ensembl:miRNA
AUUAGGUUGGUGCAAAAGUAAUCACAGUUUUUGCCGUUGAAAGUACCGGCAAAAACAGCGAUUACUUUUGCAACAACCUAAUA